GCCGUACUACAGACAGAAACAUUAACAGUCUAAAGGACUGUGUAGGAGAGAGUGAUCAAAUCUGAGCUGGACAUCUACGUCAAUUGUGUUUAAAUGACAUCGUUCCAGUCUCCACUCUCGAGGUGCAGUUCCAGGGAAGGAAGCUCUUGAGAGGAGAGUGCAGCAUCCCAACACAAGACACUGAGGAAAAGAUGAAGAUGAUCGGGAGACUGCACUGUUGACAAUCAUCCUUCUGCCUUAAGCACCUACAUACCUGUAUGCUCCAGAUUCAGAUUGCUUCAGUCUUUCUCUCUCUCUUUCUCUAUCAACCCCAACCGGUCAAGGCAGAUGGCCGCCCACCUAGAGCCUGGUUCUGCCUGAGGUUUCUUCCCGUUACGGAGUCGCCAAGUGCUUGCUCAUGGGGGGAAUGUUGGGUCUCUUUAAAUUAAAGAGUACAGUCAUAACUUAUGUCCAUCCAUCCAUCUUCUUCCGCUUAUCCGGGGUCGGGUCGCGGGGGCAGCAGCCUAAGCAGGGAAGCCCAGACUUCCCUCUCCCCAGCCACUUCGUCCAGCUCUUCCCGGGGGAUCCCGAGGUGU